ensembl:lincRNA F31A9.2 ncRNA
AUUCAUGUUUUCGUGGGCGACUGGUGGUUGCCCGUUUUCUUAUUCUAACUAAUAUUCUAUUAAACACUAUUUUCUUUUCUUCUGGCGCACCGGAGCUUCUGAAACAUUUGAUAAUCUGACAAUUCUCUCCUUGGUAGUGUCGAAGAACAACUCGUGGGAGAGAAAAGAACAAUCGCUGAUUGGAACAUUCUGCUAUAGGAAAAACCAUUCCAAAACACAGUGAUAAAAUAGCAAUUCCCUCCUGGACACUGUCGCAAAACGAUCAAUUUAUGGGAACGAAAAGGUCAGUCUCUCAAUGGAAAAUUCUGCAUGCAGGUGCGAUCGUGGUCAAACGACAAGCGCUAUAUGAGUCAGAGAAAGCUUGAAAGACACUUUUUUUCACUUAUUAAUCUGAGUUUUCAAUAA